GAUGAACGCUGGCGGCGUGCCUAAUACAUGCAAGUCGAGCGAACAGACGAGGAGCUUGCUCCUCUGACGUUAGCGGCGGACGGGUGAGUAACACGUGGAUAACCUACCUAUAAGACUGGGAUAACUUCGGGAAACCGGAGCUAAUACCGGAUAAUAUAUUGAACCGCAUGGUUCAAUAGUGAAAGACGGUUUUGCUGUCACUUAUAGAUGGAUCCGCGCCGCAUUAGCUAGUUGGUAAGGUAACGGCUUACCAAGGCAACGAUGCGUAGCCGACCUGAGAGGGGGAUCGCCCACACUGGAACUGAGACACGGUCCAGACUCCUACGGGAGGCAGCAGUAGGGAAUCUUCCGCAAUGGGCGAAAGCCUGACGGAGCAACGCCGCGUGAAUGAUGAAGGUCUUCGGAUCGUAAAACUCUGUUAUUAGGGAAGAACAAAUGUGUAAGUAACUAUGCACGUCUUGACGGUACCUAAUCAGAAAGCCACGGCUAACUACGUG
rnacentral:rRNA from 1 species